rnacentral:rRNA from 1 species
CAAUAGCGUAUAUUAAAGUUGUUGCAGUUAAAAAGCUCGUAGUCGGAUUUCGGGUUUGUCCGCGCAGUCUGCCGUUGGGUAUGCACUGCGUGUGACUUAUCUUUUUCGGGGCAGCGCGCGUUGCUUAAUUGUGGCGUGUGUCUCCUCGCUUUUACUUUGAGAAAAUCAGAGUGUUCAAAGCAGGCCUUUGCCAUUGUAUGUGUUAGCAUGGGAUAAUGGAAUAGGACUCUGGUGCUAUUUUGUUGGUUUCGAACGCCGGGGUAAUGAUUAAUAGGGAUAGUCAGGGGCACUCGUAUUCCGUAGAGAGAGGUGAAAUUCUUAGACCCACGGAAGACGCACUACUGCGAAAGCAUUUGCCAGGGAUGUUUUCACUGA